GACGAACGCUGGCGGCGUGCUUAACACAUGCAAGUCGAACGGAAAGGCCUGCUUUCCCUUGUGGAUUGCGGGUACUCGAGUGGCGAACGGGUGAGUAACACGUGAGUGAUCUGCCCCCAACUUGGUUAUAAGCCUGGGAAACUGGGUCUAAUUCCCGAUAGGACUGCAGGGUGGUGCCUGUGGUGGAAAACGAUUUUCUAGUGGUUGGGGAUGAGCUCGCGGCCUAUCAGCGUGUUGGUGGGGUAAUGGCCUACCAAGGCGGCGACGGGUAGCCGGCCUGAGAGGGUGGACUGCCACAUUGGGACUGAGAUACGGCCCAGACUCCUACGGGAGGCAGCAGUGGGGAAUAUUGCACAAGGGGCGGAAGCCUGAUGCAGCGCCGCAGCGUGGGGGAUGACGGCCUUCGGGUUGUAAACUCCUUUCGACCGCGAGGAAGCCACCUGGUUGGAAGGGUGGUGACGGUAGUGGUAGAAGAAGCACCGGCUAACUACGUG
rnacentral:rRNA from 1 species